GAAAUGCGAUAACUAGUGUGAAUUGCAGAAUUCCGUGAAUCAUCGAGUCUUUGAACGCACAUUGCGCCCCCUGGUAUUCCGGGGGGCAUGCCUGUCCGAGCGUCAUUGCUGCCCAUCAAGCACGGCUUGUGUGUUGGGUCGUCGUCCCCUCUUCGGGGGGGGACGGGCCCCAAAGGCAGCGGCGGCACCGCGUCCGAUCCUCGAGCGUAUGGGGCUUUGUCACCCGCUCUGUAGGCCCGGCCGGCGCUUGCCGAACGCAAAACAACCAUUCUUUCCAGGUUGACCUCGGAUCAGGUAGGGAUACCCGCUGAACUUAAGC
rnacentral:misc_RNA from 1 species